rnacentral:lncRNA from 1 species
CCGCUGGGGGGUUUUGGCACCACGACCUUCGGGCGCUUAUUUUUGGACGCGGCUGUGCCCGCGACUUCCCGUGGGCACCCCGAGGCCCCUCGCAAAGUCUCGCCCCAUUCCGAGUCUGGCGGACGAACUUCGCCCGCGCCCCCCACCAAGGCUAUAGCCCACCCGUUUUUUGGCCAUUUUUCCGCUGGGGGGUUUUGGCACCACGACCUUCGGGAGCUUAUUUUUGGGCGCAGCUUUGCCCGCGGCUUAUUUUU